GGUCCAGACACCUACGGGUGGCAGCAGUCGAGAAUAAUUCACAAUGGACGAAAGUCUGAUGGUGCAACGCCGCGUGGAGGAUGACGGUCUUAGGAUUGUAAACUCCUGUCAUCCGGGAGAAAGACUUGGGAGUUAAUAACUCACAGGGUUGAUAGUACCGGAAGAGGAAGGGACGGCUAACUUCGUGCCAGCAGCCGCGGUAAUACGAAGGUCCCAAGCGUUGUUCGGAAUCACUGGGCGUAAAGGGAGCGUAUGCGGCGCUAGAGUAAUGGAGGGGUAGCUGGAAUUCUCGGUGUAGCAGUGAAAUGCGUAGAUAUCGAGAGGAACACUCGUGGCGAAAGCGAGCUACUGGACAUUUACUGACGCUGAGGCUCGAAGGCUAGGGGAGCGAAAGGGAUUAGAUACCCCUGUAGUCCUAGCAGUAAACGGUGCACGCUUGGUGUGAGGGGAUUCGACCCCCCUUGUGCCGGAGCUAACGCGUUAAGCGUGCCGCCUGGGAAGUACGGUCGCAAGACUAAAACUCAAAGAAAUUGACGGGGACCCGCACAAGCGGUGGAGUAUGUGGCUUAAUUCGAUGCAACGCGAAGAACCUUACCUAGGCUUGACAUGCAUCUCUAAGCACGUGAAAGCGUGUGACCCUUCGGGGGAUUUGCACAGGUGCUGCAUGGCCGUCGUCAGCUCGUGUCGUGAGAUGUUGGGUUAAGUCCCGCAACGAGCGCAACCCUUGUGAUUAGUUGCCAGCACGUAAUGGUGGGAACUCUAGUCAGACUGCCCAGAUCAACUGGGAGGAAGGUGGGGACGACGUCAGGUCAGUAUGGCCCUUACGCCUAGGGCUGCACACGUACUACAAUGCUCAGUACAAUUAGAACCGAUACCGCGAGGUGGAGGAAAUCUGUAAAACUGGGCUCAGUUCGGAUUGGAGGCUGCAACUCGCCUCCAUGAAGUUGGAAUCGCUAGUAAUGGGGCAUCAUCUACGGCCCCGUGAAUACGUUCCCGGGUCUUGUACACACCGCCCGUCACAUCAUGGAAGCCGGUAGCACCCGAAGUAUUGUUCAAUCAAUCCUAAGGUGAAGCUGGUAACUGGGAUGAAGUCGUAACAAGGUAGCCGUAGGGGAACCUGCGGCUGGAUCACCUCCUUUCU
rnacentral:rRNA from 1 species